CAAAAUGGGAUGAAAGACCAAAAACAUCCUCAAAGGCGAAAGCAAAAUGAAAAUCUCAGAUCACCUCUCUCUUUAUUUGUGAUCAAGACUUUCUAAAAGUACCCGUUACAGAUACCUUGUGCUGAAAUAAUGGGGAAUGCUGCAUCAUGAAUAGUAGAAAAUACCCAGGAUGGGAGCUGAUGGUUGAGCUGUGAUGCCAUUCUAAAGGUGCACAGCCACUCGUGGAAGAGUUUCUGGAUUGAAGCACAGCCCUGAAAUUGGCUUUAAAUGUGGUCUGACAUUGGCAAGUGAGCAAGAUUUGGAAGAAUGUUCUUGUUGAAAUUAAUACAA